GCGGCAUGCUUAACACAUGCAAGUCGCACGGGCAGCAAUGUCAGUGGCGGACGGGUGAGUAACGCGUAGGGAAGUGUCCAGAGGUGGGGGACAACCCCGGGAAACUGGGGCUAAUACCGCAUAUGGCCUGAGGGCCAAAGCAGUGAUGCGCCUUUGGAGUUACCUGCGUCCGAUUAGCUAGUUGGUGGGGUAAAGGCCUACCAAGGCGACGAUCGGUAGCUGGUCUGAGAGGACGACCAGCCACACUGGGACUGAGACACGGCCCAGACUCCUACGGGAGGCAGCAGUGGGGAAUAUUGGACAAUGGGCGCAAGCCUGAUCCAGCAAUGCCGCGUGGGUGAAGAAGGUCUUCGGAUCGUAAAGCCCUUUCGGCGGGGACGAUGAUGACGGUACCCGCAGAAGAAGCCCCGGCUAACUUCGUGCCAGCAGCCGCGGUAAUACGAAGGGGGCUAGCGUUACUCGGAAUUACUGGGCGUAAAGGGCGCGUAGGCGGCGUUCCAAGUUAGGCGUGAAAGUCCUGGGCUCAACCUGGGAACUGCGCUUAAGACUGGAGUGCUAGAGGAUGGAAGAGGGUUGUGGAAUUCCCAGUGUAGAGGUGAAAUUCGUAGAUAUUGGGAAGAACACCGGUGGCGAAGGCGGCAACCUGGUCCAUUACUGACGCUGAGGCGCGAUAGCGUGGGGAGCAAACAGG
rnacentral:rRNA from 1 species